rnacentral:rRNA from 1 species
UACGUAGGGUGCGAGCGUUAAUCGGAAUUACUGGGCGUAAAACGUGCGCAGGCGGCGCGUUAAGACAGGUGUGAAAGCCCCGAGCUUAACUUGGGAAUUGCGCUUGUGACUGGCGAGCUGGAGUGUGGCAGAGGGAGGUGGAAUUCCACGUGUAGCAGUGAAAUGCGUAGAGAUGUGGAGGAACACCGAUGGCGAAGGCAGCCUCCUGGGCCAGCACUGACGCUCAUGCACGAAAGCGUGGGGAGCAAACAGG